GACGGGGGGGGGCAAGUGUUCUUCGGAAUGACUGGGCGUAAAGGGCACGUAGGCGGUGAAUCGGGGUUGAAAGUGAAAGUCGCCAAAAAGUGGCGGAAUGCUCUCGAAACCAAUUCACUUGAGUGAGACAGAGGAGAGUGGAAUUCCGCGUGUAGCAGUGAAAUGCGUAGAGAUGCGGAGGAACACCGAUGGCGAAGGCAGCCCCCCUGGGCUGACACUGACGCUCAGGCACGAAAGCGUGGGGAGCAAACAGG
rnacentral:rRNA from 1 species